GUAGGGGUUUAUUAGCAGGUAAAAACUAGUUGAUUCCAAAUAUCUGACAAACAGUUAAAAAAUAAAAUUAGCAGACAUCCUUUAGUUCAAAUUCUGUGUAUCCAAAUUCAAUUUAACUAAAAAUAAAUCAGCAGAUAUCAGAUUGUUAAAUUUAAAGUUCUCAGACUGGUAAAUUCUGUCCGGUUUCACCAAUUAUAAGCACAUAUUCCAAAAAAAUGUUUACAGUUCUUUUGGUUUUAUGAAUGAAAUCAACUGUUAGCUAUUUAGCCUAUUAUAGUUUCAGUAUUUAUGAUAUAUGUCCAAAAGUCUCCAGAAAUUGUCAAAGUUGUCUUUCUUUGUUGAAUCAAGGAAUUAUGGUAACCAGCUUGGC
rnacentral:lncRNA from 1 species